AAAAUAAAGACUUCAGAUGGAAAGAAGAAAACCUUCUCUACCUGCUCAUCUCAUCUCAUAGUGGCCAGCCUAUUCUUUGGCACAGCAUUUAUUGUGUAUGUCCGACCUGAAGGAAGUCAUUAUGACAAAUAUCUAGCACUUAUUUACACUGUAGUGAUUCCAAUGCUUAACCCUUUCAUCUAUACUUUGCGAAAUCGGGAUAUCAAAACUGUCUUCCUACAACUAGUGAG